GCUGCUGGAGGCGAUGACUGCUUGAGCUGGCUGAUGUUGGCGAAGGAUGGUGAUGGCGGCUGCUGGCGCUGGCAGCUGGUGCUGGCCAUGGCUGCUGGUGGCGACUGCUGACUGCUGGAAUAAGAGGAGACUGGAGGCUGUGGAGACUGCGGACGGUGUGCCGGGAAUGGAGUGGCCGAGUACAUCCAUGGCAACCAGUAAGGUGUUCGUCAGUGGCCUAGAUGGUAUGACCUUAGGUGAGGAGGUCUGCUGUGUGGAAAUCGCCUUCUUGGUCUGACUCUUGCUGCCAAGCUCAUGGCAUGAGGGAAGGUUGCUGUCCAGACUCAUGGCCUCUCUUUCCAGCUGUUCCACUACGUUGGAGGAUUCCAUAAGGGAAUCACUCGUCUUGGAACGGAAGAGCUGCUCCACGUGCUGCAGGAGAGUGAACAGCUCAUCGGAUGGCCGUGCACACUGGCAUUCCUCACAGAGCGAGAAGCUGAUGACCCUCUUCGCUACGUAUCCAGCCAGGUGGUAGAGGACACAAGACUCGGUCUUUGUGAGGUCAGGUGGUGAUGGGUCUACCAGCUGCUCCACUCUCACAACCUCAGAAGCACUGCAGUUGCUGUUCUUGUUGUCCAAGAAGUCCGCCAAGUGGUCUGAUGCAUCUUCCAGAUCUUCCUGGAUCUCCAGGAUCGUUGUUGUGGCCAUCAUCAGUCCUGUCUGGACUGGUUUCCAGCUGCCCUGGGGAACGAUCUUCAGGCCCUGAAAAAGAUGGAUCGAGUCACGGAGGAAGCUGAUGGCCUUUUCAUACUCUUCCAUCUUGAAGUGAC